GGUGGCCGGGAUGGAACCAGUGCUGCAGAGAAUGUGGGCAGCUUCACAGCCCAGCGCUCAACCACUGCACCACCAGGGGAGGCCUUGCUUAGGAGGCGCAAUACGGAGGCAGAGUGAAGACACUGGGCUCAGCGCCACCAUAAACUCACAACACUGUGCAGGACAACAUCAAUGCCCCUGAAAGAGAAAUGGGUGACCAGGGCUCAGACCAGGAGCAGGGACCAAUGGCAAGAAACCGGGAAAACGUUAACUGACCUGCAUCUACAGUUAUACUGGAGCAGAAUUAAACCCCCUACAGAUGUGGACUCGGGGACACAAGCCACACUGGGGACUUUGGAGAUUCAGCACUUCCCUCAGCGCUGGGCUCAACCUGCUGGGCCCUCCGGGAGGCCCUAUUUUUGAAGACACCGUACCAAUUCUCUACAGCUGCGUAGAAAGAGCGUCCAGAUGCCUCCACACCCCAGGGCUUGCAGGAAUAACAGGUCACCUGGAGGUGCCCCUGCAGUGGGAACCAGUGUGUCCACGGCGGCCGCCUCCUUGUGCCCUCUGGGACCUGCGUGGGAAGAGCAGAGCCAGUGAAUCCCAAGCACGGAGGAGGCUCUUUCCUUAGUGACACCCCCCGGAAAGUGCUGCAUGGACUCAGAUGAGACAAAGUGCAGAUGGAAACCAGGAGGCCCUAUCGAGGCACCACUCACUGGCGGGUGUUUCACCAGACCCAUUGCCCUCCCUGCCCUUCACCUGCUCUGCUCCGGGGACUGCUGUGCUUGCGGACAUCUGUGCUCCACACCUAUGUUCUCAUGCUGCUUCUGGCCCCUCUGGCUGGGCCCAGCCUCUGAGCCUUCUCCAGGGCUUGGCCUCCGCUGGUGUGCUCCUUUCACUAUGGCCACUGAGUGGCUGCCCUGGAGCGGGGAAGUGAAUUCUAGGGAGGUGCUGGUGACCAUCUAAUCCCCAGCAGGGUGAACUCUGCUCUUGUGUUUUCUUCCAAAGGGUGGACAGAAAAUGCAACAUUUUAAAAUCCUAUUAAGGAUUCAACGAGCUCUGGCCUUGUAGCCUCCGCUGGACUGAAGGGUGGUUUGGGAAUGGUGUUA